rnacentral:rRNA from 1 species
AGGCCUAACACAUGCAAGUCGAGGGGCAUCGGAUAGAGUACUUCGGUACUCUUGCCGGCGACCGGCGGACGGGUGCGUAACGCGUAUGCAACCUACCUUCAACAGGGGGAUAGCCUUUCGAAAGAAAGAUUAAUAUCCGAUAGUAUAUUAAAACCGCAUGGUUUUACUAUUAAAGAAUUUCGGUUAUCGAUGGGGAUGCGUUCCAUUAGUUUGUUGGCGGGGUAACGGCCCACCUAGUCUUCGAUGGAUAGGGGUUCUGAGAGGAAGGUCCCCACAUUGGAACUGAGACACGGUCCAAACUCC